rnacentral:rRNA from 1 species
CCUGGUGAUUAUUGCGAAGGGGUAAUACCCGAUCCCAUUCCGAACUCGGAAGUCAAGCCCUU